GGCUCCGUAGUUCAACUGGAUAGAAUAUCAGAUUUCGGCUCUGAGGGUUGAGGGUUCGAAUCCUUCCGGAGUCACCA
rnacentral:tRNA from 1 species